rnacentral:rRNA from 1 species
CCUACGGGAGGCAGCAGUGGGGAAUUUUUCCGCAAUGGGCGAAAGCCUGACGGAGCAACGCCGCGUGAGGGAUGAAGGCCUCUGGGCUGUAAACCUCUUUUAUCAAGGAAGAAGAUCUGACGGUACUUGAUGAAUAAGCCACGGCUAAUUCCGUGCCAGCAGCCGCGGUAAUACGGGAGUGGCAAGCGUUAUCCGGAAUUAUUGGGCGUAAAGCGUCCGCAGGCGGUCUUGUAAGUCUGUCGUUAAAGCGUGGAGCUUAACUCCAUUUCGGCGGUGGAAACUACAAGACUAGAGUGUGGUAGGGGCAGAGGGAAUUCCCGGUGUAGCGGUGAAAUGCGUAGAUAUCGGGAAGAACACCAGUGGCGAAGGCGCUCCGCUGGGCCAUAACUGACGCUCAUGGACGAAAGCUAGGGGAGCGAAAGGGAUUAGAUACCCCUGUAGUCCUAGCCGUAAACGAUGAACACUAGGUGUCGGGGGAAUCGACCCCCUCGGUGUCGUAGCUAACGCGUUAAGUGUUCCGCCUGGGAGUACGCACGCAAGUGUGAAACUCAAAUGAAUUGACGG